AAGAGAUCUUGAACUGGACUCUCCCGGCGCAGGACGCGGUCCGACCGUGUGCACUUUCCGCGGGCAGAGCGCCACGACCGGUUCUCGGGCGGUCAGAAGGCGACGGGGAUGGUAGGUGCGCGCUUCGGCGUGCACUGGUAUAGCCCCGCCUGUCCCGAUCCGCUCGGGGACCGAGGAGCCGCCGCCGGUGUAAGGCCGCCUCGCCCUCCUGGGAUGUCCCGACUGGCAGAGACUGGGCAACCGUGUCUGCCGACCGCUUCCCUGGACGGUCUUUUGGGGUGGGCCCGCCGGCACAGGGUCGGUGGCGAAUCGGUCGGCCCUCCACCCGACCCGUCUUGAAACACGGACCAAGGAGUCUAACAUGCGCGCGAGUCGUUGGGUCGUACGAAACCCGAAGGCGAAGUGAAAGCGAGGGCCGGUCUCUGACCGUUGCUCAGGUGGGAUCCUGCCACUCUGUGGGUGGGCGCACCACCGGCCCGUCUCGUCCGCGUCGUCGGUGAGGCGGAGCAUGAGCGUGCACGUUGGGACCCGAAAGAUGGUGAACUAUGCCUGAGUAGGACGAAGCCAGAGGAAACUCUGGUGGAGGUCCGCAGCGAUUCUGACGUGCAAAUCGAUCGUCAAACUUGGGUAUAGGGGCGAAAGACUAAUCGAACCAUCUAGUAGCUGGUUC
rnacentral:rRNA from 1 species